AUGAUUAACCACAUUCAAACUUCGUGUGGUAUUGGUUCAUUAGGAUCACCAACUAUUAUUUAUGAAGAUAAUGCAGCUUGCAUUGCUCAAAUGCAAAUGGGUUAUAUUAAAAGUAAUAUCACAAAACAUAUUUCUCCUAAGUUGUUCUUUCCACAUUCAUUACAGAAAGAUGGAGAAAUUGAUAUUUUGCAAACCAAAUCAUGUGACAAUUUAGCAGAUUUGUUCACAAAGUCCUUACCAAAUUCAACUUUCCAGAAAUGUAUUCAUGGGAUUGGUAUGAGACUUUUUCGAGAUUUGCAAAUUUCAGGGGGAGAAAAACUCCUAGAAUUAUAA
rnacentral:rRNA from 1 species